rnacentral:sRNA from 1 species
CACCGCCUGGGGAGUACGACCGCAAGGUUAAAACUCAAAUGAAUUGACGGGGACCCGCACAAGUAGUGGAGCAUGUGGUUUAAUUCGAAGAUACGCGCAGAACCUUACCAACACUUGACGUGUUCGUCGCGACUUUAAGAGAUUAAAGUUUUCGGUUCGGCCGGACGAAACACAGGUGCUGCAUGGCUGUCGUCAGCUCGUGUCGUGAGAUGUUGGGUUAAGUCCCGCAACGAGCGCAACCCUCACUUUUAGUUGCCAUCAUUUAGUUGGGCACUCUGAAAGAACUGCCAGUGAUAAGCUGGAGGAAGGUGGGGAUGACGUCAAGUCCUCAUGGCCCUUACGUGUUGGGCUACACACGUGCUACAAUGGUAUUUACAACAGGAAGCAAAACGGCGGCGUUAAGCAAAUCCUAAAAAGAUACCUCAGUUCGGAUUGCACUCUGCAACUCGAGUGCAUGAAGCUGGAAUUACUAGUAAUCGUGGAUCAGCGUGCCACGGUGAAUGCGUUCCCGGGUCUUGUACACACCGCCCGUCACACCAUGGGAGUUGGUUCUACCUUAAGGCAAGGUUUUAAACCCUUGACCACGGUAUAGUCAGCGACUGGGGUGAAGUCGUAACAAGGUAGCCGUAGGGGAACCUGCGGCUGGAUUACCUCCUUUCUAAGGAUGAGUAAAAUUAUUUUUACUCUAAAUAAUAAACAGGUUAAUGUUGACCGUCCUCAUUUCUCUUCUUAAAACAGUGUUUCUCUUGCAUGGGGGCCGGUAGCUCAGUUGGUUAGAGCACACCCUUGAUAAGGGUGGGGUCGAAAGUUUGAGUCUUUCUCGGCCCACCAUUUUUUACUGGGGGAUUAGCUCAGCUGGGAGAGCGCCUGAUUUGCAUUCAGGAGGUCAGCGGUUCGAUCCCGCUAUCCUCCACCAAUAAACACUUAGUUAUUAAAAUUUGUAAAUUAUUUUUUAUUAUCAAUAUCUAUAUCCGAUUGUUCAAAGUUAAGAACAAUCAAUAAAUAUUCGAAUAGAUGAAUAUUUAAAAAAUUUAAUUCAACACAGAAUUUUUUUCUG